GAUCCUGGCUCAGAUUGAACGCUGGCGGAAUGCUUUACACAUGCAAGUCGAACGGUAGAGGGGGCAACCCCUUGAGAGUGGCGAACGGGUGAGUAAUAUAUCGGAACGUGCCCAGUCGUGGGGGAUAACGUAGCGAAAGUUACGCUAAUACCGCAUACGAUCUACGGAUGAAAGCGGGGGACUCGCAAGAGCCUCGCGCGAUUGGAGCGGCCGAUAUCAGAUUAGGUAGUUGGUGGGGUAAAGGCUCACCAAGCCAACGAUCUGUAGCUGGUCUGAGAGGACGACCAGCCACACUGGAACUGAGACACGGUCCAGACUCCUACGGGAGGCAGCAGUGGGGAAUUUUGGACAAUGGACGCAAGUCUGAUCCAGCCAUUCCGCGUGCAGGAUGAAGGCCCUCGGGUUGUAAACUGCUUUUGUACGGAACGAAAAGGUUUCUAUUAAUACUAGGAGCUCAUGACGGUACCGUAAGAAUAAGCACCGGCUAACUACGUG
rnacentral:rRNA from 1 species